UCGGCGUUCUAUUUUGAUUCUUCACCAGUCACCACACAUAAGUAUGAAAGCGGUGACCAAACAGACAAUGACGUCAGUGUUUGGAAGCAGCCACCAUAGAAAAGCGUGGUUGAUUCGCUUGGCAAUAGUAUGGCUGGAAUACGAUGCUGCUUACACUGCAUUCGGCUGUUUGGCUUGAGUUUUGAAUGGUGGCCUCAUCUUCCCAUUCCAAUUGGCAUGAGGCGAACACGUUUGGAUGUAAGUGAUUAAAUGUAGUUCUUUAUUAACAAUUUUACCGUUAUUAUUAGUUCAUGUUCGUUUGAACCGAAUCCCCAAAUAAAAGGGCUUAUUUUCCGGCA